UACAGAGGAGCCAAGCGUUGUCCGGAUUGACUGGGCGUAAAGCGCACGCAGGCGGUCUGGCGCGUGGGGUGUGAAAUCUGGCCGCUUAACGGCCAGGCGCCAUCCCAUACGGCCGGACUGGAGGGCUGCAGAGGUCGAUGGAAUUGCCGGUGUAGUGGUGAAAUGCGUAGAGAAUCGGCAGGAACACCCGGGGGAAACGACGCGACU
rnacentral:rRNA from 1 species